AAGUUUGUUGAGAGUAAGUCUCCCAGCACACAAGGGAAUAGAGGAUCAAGCUAACAAGAGCUCAAUAGACUUGCAACAGAUGUGAAAAAGUUCAUUUUCCUGAAUCUACUUUUGAUUUUUAGUGGCAACUGCUGAAAUCCUUUGGUUUUAAGUACAAUAAUGAAAGGAAAGCAUAUGAUUCCUAUAUUAAAUAAAUUGGGAGUGCAUUUUGUAGUUUUUGGUUUUGGUGUGGAUAUUUUGGAAGAGUAUAUGAAACAAAUGCAUUUUACAUGGUUUCUCAGUAACGUCUAUAACAGAUUUACUUCUGAACCUCUUGGACAUGGUGCAGUAAAAAAAAAAAAAACCAGUUAAUUGGAACAAUAUAAAAGUUGUCUUAAUGGGAUUAAUUGAAGAAGAUUGGCCAGAUACAUUGGCUACAGUUAAUAAGUCAAAAGUAAACUAUAAAGAUUAUGUUAAGUUGCUAAUAAAAGGAAGGGAAGUAGAACUUUAAGAAGAGUGAGCAGAUCUGGUUAUUGCAAUAACUCAUAUGAAAUGGGGAAAUGAUACAAGGCUUGCCCAAAGAGCAGAAGGGGUCAGUUUGAUUCCUGGAGGCCAAGACCAUGAUUAUGGAAUCAGUAAGGUGAAUGAAACUUGGAUUGCCAAAAGUGGAUCCGAUUUUAAAAACUUAACAAAAAUAAAUAUAAGACUCUUUGGUGCAUAUUUCCAAUAUGUAUUUGAGAAAGUGGACAUUUUGAAUUAUUUGGAAGAAGAUUCAUAUAUUCAAGUAAUAGUAAAAGAUUUUACUCAAAAUGUACAGUAUAUGUUAGAAGAAGUUCUGUGCCCAACUGAUAUGCAAUUAGAUGGCUGUGAAAUUACAGUAAGAAAAUCUGAGCGCAAUCUUGGAAAUUUGGUAACUAAGGCAAUGUUAGAAGCUACUCUUGCAGAUGUAGCACUACUUAAUUUAGGUGGCCGUCUCAGAUCAGAUCGAAUACGUCCAGCGGGGAAUUUCACUUUGCAUGAUCUUUUGGCUAUUCUUCCCAUAGUGGAUACAGGUUUAGUUGUCAGAGUGACAAGGUGCUUAGCUGCUUGAAACACUUGAAAAUGGAGUUUAUAAGUACCCU
rnacentral:lncRNA from 1 species